rnacentral:rRNA from 2 species
CGGAGUGGACGCAUCACUGGUGUUCGGGUUGUCAUGCCAAUGGCAUUGCCCGGUAGCUAAAUGCGGAAGAGAUAAGUGCUGAAAGCAUCUAAGCACGAAACUUGCCCCGAGAUGAGUUCUCCCUGACUCCUUGAGAGUCCUGAAGGAACGUUGAAGACGACGACGUUGAUAGGCCGGGUGUGUAAGCGCAGCGAUGCGUUGAGCUAACCGGUACUAAUGAACCGUGAGGCUUAACCUU